GACAGAGGGUGCAAACGUUGUUCGGAAUUACUGGGCGUAAAGCGUGUGUAGGCGGCUUUGCAAGUCGGAUGUGAAAGCCCCGGGCUCAACCCGGGAAGUGCACUCGAUACUGCAGGGCUUGAGUGUCGGAGAGGUUGGUGGAAUUCUCGGUGUAGAGGUGAAAUUCGUAGAUAUCGAGAGGAACACCGGCGGCGAAGGCGGCCAACUGGACGAACACUGACGCUGAGACACGAAAGCGUGGGGAGCAAACAGG
rnacentral:rRNA from 1 species